GUUAUGGCUUGGACACUGGCUGUGGACAUCUGGCGGCCAGAUUUGUUUUCAAUUUCGGGGCAUAGCUAGCCCUUUAGCGGUUUAGCCCCUACCUUCUUCUUGGUUCCCUGUCAGAUGAAGCGUGGGUUUCGAGAGUAAAGAUGUUCUUCGUUGGUUUCUUUUUUUUUUCCUGUUAGCUGGGUAUGUCUUCGUGAGGAAGAAAUAUUUGCCAUUUGUUUCCGAGACGCUCGACUUAAAAGUGUAUUCCAAAUUCAUUACGGAAUUAAGGUGUCGAUCUACAUUUUCAGCCAUUAAAUGUGAUCUGGCAUAUAAUUUCAUUUGGCCAAAUAUGAUGACGUGGGUCGAAACUUCUGCCAUUUUGUCGAAAUGUCGGCCAUUGUUAGCUGUACGUCUCAUUUCGUGCAGAAACACUUCAGAGCUAGUCAGAGAUGGAGAUCCGUUGCUCAACUGUUGCAGAAAUUUAGAACACGACAAAGUCUGAGCUUCAUGGCUGUCGUAUCAUUAAUGUGGUUUUGUUGCAGCCAGCUGGUGAAAAGUGUGAUUGAGUUCUGUUGAGCUGCAGCUGCUGCAUGCAGUUAAUCGAGCUGGUGUUAUCCAGUGUCACUGCAGGAAAACUUCUUGAAUUGGAGUUCAUGGUCAGUUGGAGCUGUUUACGAUGUUGCACUUGUUGCUUUUUGGUGUCCAGUGGUUUUGCAGUCCCUUUCCAGUUGAGAGAUGCUCUGAAAUGGAGUUUGUGCAGACUUGCAGUUCAACAUCACACUUAAAUGUGUCAUUUGUCUAUGUUGGUGUCCAUGCAGUAUAUGCAGUGUUGAACGGUUGGGUAAAAUAGUUCAUGCUGCCUGAUGGCUGUCGGCCUUAUUUUAUCGGUUGCAUUUUUCGAAAUGUCAUCUCUUGCUACCUGUAUUGGCGUUUAGUUGAAUCGUUUGCUGCCGUUGCAUAGACUUGAUCCAUUGGUAAAACUGAGGAGAGGUUGCUGAAAUUCAAGACUCGUCAAUAAAUUAUGUAGAUGUAGAAAAAUUACAAGUGCAUAUCUGGCUCCCUUUUUUCUGUGCCCCGUUU
rnacentral:lncRNA from 1 species